GAUGAACGCUGGCGGCGUGCCUAAUACAUGCAAGUCGAGCGAACAGACGAGGAGCUUGCUCCUCUGACGUUAGCGGCGGACGGGUGAGUAACACGUGGAUAACCUACCUAUAAGACUGGGAUAACUUCGGGAAACCGGAGCUAAUACCGGAUAAUAUAUUGAACCGCAUGGUUCAAUAGUGAAAGACGGUUUUGCUGUCACUUAUAGAUGGAUCCGCGCCGCAUUAGCUAGUUGGUAAGGUAACGGCUUACCAAGGCGACGAUGCGUAGCCGACCUGAGAGGGUGAUCGGCCACACUGGAACUGAGACACGGUCCAGACUCCUACGGGAGGCAGCAGUAGGGAAUCUUACGCAAAGGGCGAGAGCCUGACGGAGCAACGCCGCGUGAGUGAUGAAGGUCUUCGGAUCGUAAAACUCUGUUAUUAGGGAAGAACAAAUGUGUAAGUACCUAUGCACGUCUUGACGGUACCUAAUCAGAAAGCCACGGCUAACUACGUG
rnacentral:rRNA from 1 species